GGGUCUGUAGCUCGAAGGCAGAGCGGACGCCUUUUAAGCGUCGAGGUGCGGGUUCGAGUCCCGCCAGACCCACCA
rnacentral:tRNA from 1 species